AUUGAACGCUGGCGGCAUGCUUUACACAUGCAAGUCGAGCGGCAGCGCGGGAGCAAUCCUGGCGGCGAGCGGCGAACGGGUGAGGAAUACAUCGGAACGUACCCCGGAGUGGGGGAUAACGCCGCGAAAGCGGCGCUAAUACCGCAUAUGCUCUGAGGAGGAAAGUGGGGGACUCGCAAGGGCCUCACGCUCUGGGAGCGGCCGAUGUCCGAUUAGCUAGNGGUGGGGUAAAGGCUUACCAAGGCGACGAUCGGUAGCUGGUCUGAGAGGAUGAUCAGCCACACUGGGACUGAGACACGGCCCAGACUCCUACGGGAGGCAGCAGUGGGGAAUUUUGGACAAUGGGGGCAACCCUGAUCCAGCCAUGCCGCGUGCGGGAAGAAGGCU
rnacentral:rRNA from 1 species